CUUCUGAUGUUCUCAUCCUAAAUGCCUCCACAGAUUUGACUGGUUCCAGGUCAACAGAUCCUUCUCACUCCCUGUAGCACACUUCUGCUUUUCAUCCUUGUAACAGAUACCUCAUUACAGAAUCAGGAUUGCAUGAUGUCAAAAGGGUUGCAUUGCAAAGCACAGAUAUGUCAUUCCCGUUACAGAUGCAGAAACCAUACCGAUGGAUUGAUCUUGAAUUUCAAAACAGACUGUUGCCAGUGGGUCUGUCAAAAACUGCAAGACCAGCAAGUACCAGUGCUGCUUUCAGAGGCUUCUGCUCAGAAAAUUUCAUCUGCAACACCAAUCUGGGAAGAAAAAGGGGAGAAAUUUCCAAUGGGGAGAGGAAAGAAAACAAGAACAGGCUUGGAAGAAAGAGAGCAAAGAAGUGCAGGCCACCAGGACUACAUGCUCACUAGCCACCUGGAUUUUAGAACAUAGCCAGAGAUUAUGCAAAUAACUGUGCUGCUUAGUUGCCUCUGCUGGGCUCAGUCCCAGAAGGAUCGUAGAAGAACACAGCAUCCCAAGAUUUGAUAGAAAUGGCAGCAAAGGUGGUAAAGCUUACAUCUAAUCCAGAAAACUAGACUUUGUCUACCUCCACAAUGGACAGCACAGAUCUCCACCACUUGGAAUCACAAGUAUCAAGCAACUCCUCCUCAGAGCCAGAGAAUGGGCCUUGGCCAAAAUUUCUUACUGGAAAAGAUACAGCUAUCUUCUUUUUCCUAAUAGUUAGGAACAUACUGUGGCUGGUUCACUUCUGUCUCAUCUCAUACUUUUUUUGCAUCAAAUACAAUCUUAACACAACCCUUCAAUAACAUCAGUUGUAAUUUUAUUGCAGUUUCUUAUUUUUUAUUUGUAAGUUUCACAAACUAUUUGCAGUAGGCUAAGUCACUGUUUUUUGCCCUUGACAACUGUUCAAAAACUCCAUAUCCAAAUUUCCUAGCAUUUGCCUUCCCUUUAGCUCAGAGAAGCCCAGGUGAUGCUCUGUAAAGCAGAGAGACCACUUGGCAAGAGUAUUAAAAAAAAAAAAAAAAAAAAAAAAAGAGUUGACAACCAGCUGCCAGCAACAGAAGGGACCUUUUCAGUAAACACUGUCAAUGUAUUCAUAAAUCACCCAGACAAAAAGGAAGGGAAAGUGCAGUCAGAGUUAUAAUGUCCCGGAGAAGCACUGUUUGAUUGUUGUUUACAGGACAAGAAGCAUGUGGCUGGAGCUUUUUAGAGAGCCUCUGAAGUUCAUUGCUUCCUUCUCUGAAUCUCACUUGCUUUUACAUGUUGUCACUACAGUCAUUCACAUACCAGCAAUCUGAUAGCAAGAACGGAGCAAUUUCAGGAAGCGAAUGCUAUAACAUUUUGUUGCU
rnacentral:lncRNA from 1 species